GCUGCUCACUGUAAAAAAACAAACAAAAAACUAAUAACCCCCCCACUCCCCCCAUGCCCGUGGGGGCCCUAAAUAAAGAUGGGGGGGAACCUGGCCCCUGGCCCCCACCCCUGAGCGGUGGGUGGGGGCCCUAAAUAAAGAUAUGGGGGGGGGAACUUCUGUCCCCCCCCUGGCCCCCACCCCUGCGCGGUGGGUGGGGGCCCUAAUAAAACAAUAAG